GCCUACGGCCAUACCACCCUGAAAGUGCCCGAUCUCGUCUGAUCUCGGAAGCUAAGCAGGGACGGGCCUGGUUAGUACCUGGAUGGGAGACCGCCUGGGAAUACCAGGUGUUGUAGGCU
ensembl:rRNA 5S_rRNA 5S ribosomal RNA